AGUCCAAUAGAAUCGUAUCAAACAAUAUUUAGUACUACGAAGAAGAGCAGUCAGGUUGAAACACUAAGCAGCAAAUUAUUUCACCACCACCGACGCGCUGCUCCUAUAGCGAGAUAGAUAUUUGGGCGAGUUGGUAAGGUUCCAUGACGAAGAAGGGGAUUGCAAUCAACACAUACGAAGCUGCAGGAAAGGACAACAGGAGUGCUCGUGUUGUCCUUCAGCUUCAUAUGUGAUGAUCGCACUCCCCUACUUCACCAUGCUACUCCUAUGUUGGCCGCUGUCACUGAAAGCUAUGAAAUUCUCUCAGUGUAGGACAUGCACCAUAAUUAUAGCACUUUUCUAUGUUGGAUGCCUUCUUUCUCUUUCCUUGAAGGGGAUAUUUAGACCUGUUGGGCAAGGCAUAAUUCACUGUACAGCCUGAUAAACAGGCUCGAAAACCAGAGGGGACAACACACAACAUUGUGACUUGAGACAAAGAGGCCAAGGGGCCAGCGGGACUGUGUCCUUGCUUCUGCUUAUUUGUCCUGUCUUCCAUGGCUCAGUGAAUUAUUCACUUUCCUGUGGCCACUGCUGAUUUCGUGAAAUCAACUUGCCAUGUUCUCUCACUUAUGUUUUGAUGUGAAUUUGUCCAUGUUUAAGUUGCUUAAGGUAGAUUCACAUGAUGGAUGCAAUGUUCUGCCCAUUGCGCUCACUGAAUAUAAGUGAGUGGAACUGAAUCCUACUGCCAGCAGUUUGUCUAUGAAGUCCAAAUGCGCAUUUGGAUCUGUUACCUCUGUGCCACAUCAUAAUCGGUCAGUAAAGUAAAUUGGGGACUUGGCCCAUUAUGUGAAUCAAUCUUUUUUUUUUCUUCCACCAUUGUACUUGGUGUUGCACCUCUUGUUCGUUGUAUUUUUUUGAGAAUGUGGCCAAUAGGAAAUGUUAACAUUCCACACUGUCACAUUGUCAACAGGCAUUGAUAGCUGAUUUUUAAAGCUGAAGAAAGGGUGAGCAACUUCCAUGCAAGAUUUGUGGUUCCCUGUCAUGUGACAUAGAUGUAAUAUCUAAACAGAAGCUUCUUAUCGCCACACUACCUAAUAACUAGCAGACUUCAUUUACUGUUUUCAAAGAAUGUUGCAGAGUACUGCUACAGAGAAAAUUUGGAGGACGCUUAAGCUUCGCCUUCAAGAGUGGAACACAAUAGCAUUAAAAAAUCCCCGACUGCUUCUCACAAACCCCAGCAACUGCAGCUUAUGUAACCGUAAUGUUUGCCAGCAAAUGCUGGUGGCGAAUUCUAUGCAUGAAGGCGAGCUUUCUGGUAUAAAUGUGGCCUCUUGCGUGGGCUGCGAGUGCACAGAGGCGAGUGCCAGCUGGACGGUGUUGUUAGAAGGAAUCGAGCUCGUGGCACUAUACUCUAUGAAUGGUUGCAACGCUGGAAAAGUGGUUUAUGUUUGAGUUUCAGCGUAGCAGAAUCAUGUUUUCUGCUACAGUUAAUCCUCAAUGUAACGAACUUCAAUUUAACGAAACUCUCAAUAUAACAAAAUAUUUAAGAUUUCAUAACCUUUUGUCCAUAGAACACCAUGUAAUUAGAAUCCCAAUAUAACAAAUGUGUAUGCGAUUUCAAUGUAACGAAAUUUCUCUUCCACAGCAAAAGAAUCCCAAGACAAUAAAUAGAAACUUCUGCGGACGCAGAUGGUCACAUGAUUGAAUUACUAGCAACUGCUUUCAAACGCACCUCUCAUAUCGCGCGCGGCGCGACAAGAGCGACCGCCGAAAUGAAACCGUAAUAUGUUCCAUGUGAAGUCCAACGGCGAUAAGAUCCUAUCGCGCCCUUUGCGCUUUAGGUGCGAGUGAAAGCGCGAGGGUGAGAAGGAAAGAUGGUGGCUUCACGCACGAGUGCCGCCUCUCCGCAUGAGUAGAGGGAAAGAGGGGAGAAGAGCGAGCUCGCGGUAACGCGAUCACGCGCGAGGGGAGGGGGGAGUUGGCGCGCAUCGCGAUUUCUGGCGCGCGCCUCUACCGUAGCUGAAGCGCCGCUGAUAGUACAUGCAGCCGCAUACCCUGCUUUAGAGGCACCGCCAGAUGGCAGCAAAGUGCUCAUCCACGUGUAGACAACUUGUCUGCGAGACAAGCUGGUCCACAAUCCUCACUCUUUGCAAC